GCCUGGCUAGCUCAAUCGGUAGAGCGUCAGACUCUUAAUCUGAAGGCUGUGGGUUCGACCCCCACGUUGGGCG